rnacentral:rRNA from 1 species
GAGUUUGCUCCUGGCUCAGGACGAACGCUGGCGGCGCGCCUAACACAUGCAAGUCGAACGAGCGAGAGAGAGCUUGCUUUCUCGAGCGAGUGGCGAACGGGUGAGUAACGCGUGAGGAACCUGCCUCAAAGAGGGGGACAACAGUUGGAAACGACUGCUAAUACCGCAUAAGCCCACGACCCGGCAUCGGGUUGAGGGAAAAGGAGCAAUCCGCUUUGAGAUGGCCUCGCGUCCGAUUAGCUGGUUGGUGAGGUAACGGCCCACCAAGGCGACGAUCGGUAGCCGGACUGAGAGGUUGAACGGCCACAUUGGGACUGAGACACGGCCCAGACUCCUACGGGAGGCAGCAGUGGGGAAUAUUGCACAAUGGGGGAAACCCUGAUGCAACGACGCCGCGUGGAGGAAGAAGGUCUUCGGAUUGUAAACUCCUGUUGUUGAGGAAGAUAAUGACGGUACUCAACAAGGAAGUGACGGCUAACUACGUGCCAGCAGCCGCGGUAAAACGUAGGUCACAGGCGUUGUCCGGAAUUACUGGGUGUAAAGGGAGCGCAGGCGGGAAGACAAGUUGGAAGUGAAAUCUAUGGGCUCAACCCAUAAACUGCUUUCAAAACUGUUUUUCUUGAGUAGUGCAGAGGUAGGCGGAAUUCCCGGUGUAGCGGUGGAAUGCGUAGAUAUCGGGAGGAACACCAGUGGCGAAGGCGGCUACUGGGCACCAACUGACGCUGAGGCUCGAAAGUGUGGGUAGCAAACAGGAUUAGAUACCCUGGUAGUCCACACCGUAAACGAUGAUUACUAGGUGUUGGAGGAUUGACCCCUUCAGUGCCGCAGUUAACACAAUAAGUAAUCCACCUGGGGAGUACGACCGCAAGGUUGAAACUCAAAGGAAUUGACGGGGGCCCGCACAAGCAGUGGAGUAUGUGGUUUAAUUCGACGCAACGCGAAGAACCUUACCAAGUCUUGACAUCCUGCGACGCACAUAGAAAUAUGUGUUUCCUUCGGGACGCAGAGACAGGUGGUGCAUGGUUGUCGUCAGCUCGUGUCGUGAGAUGUUGGGUUAAGUCCCGCAACGAGCGCAACCCUUACUGUCAGUUACUACGCAAGAGGACUCUGGCAGGACUGCCGUUGACAAAACGGAGGAAGGUGGGGAUGACGUCAAAUCAUCGUGCCCUUUAUGACUUGGGCUACACACGUACUACAAUGGCGUUAAACAAAGAGAAGCAAGACCGCGAGGUGGAGCAAAACUCAGAAACAACGUCCCAGUUCGGACUGCAGGCUGCAACUCGCCUGCACGAAGUCGGAAUUGCUAGUAAUCGUGGAUCAGCAUGCCACGGUGAAUACGUUCCCGGGCCUUGUACACACCGCCCGUC